rnacentral:rRNA from 1 species
CCUACGGGAGGCAGCAGUGGGGGAUAUUGCACAAUGGGGGGAACCCUGAUGCAGCGACGCCGCGUGGGUGAAGGAGCGUUUCGGCGCGUAAAGCCCUAUCGGCAGGGAAGAAGGAGGACGGUACCUGACUAAGAAGCCCCGGCUAACUACGUGCCAGCAGCCGCGGGAAUACGUAGGGGGCAAGCGUUAUCCGGAUUUACUGGGUGUAAAGGGGGCGCAGACGGCAGCGCAAGCCAGGAGUGAAAGCCCGGGGGCCAACCCCGGGACUGCUCUUGGAACUGCGCGGCUGGAGUGCAGGAGGGGCAGGCGGAAGUCCUGGUGUAGCGGUGAAAUGCGUAGAUAUCAGGAGGAACACCGGUGGCGAAGGCGGCCUGCUGGACUGCGACUGACGUUGAGGCCCGAAAGCGUGGGGAGCAAACAGGAUUAGAUACCCCAGUAGUC